AGCCAUCAUCAUCAUCAGCAGCAGCCAAACGUAAACAAACCAAGCCUGACACUCGUGCUGGACGCCGCCCACGGGACCCCGCCACCCAGCGCCCUUUCCCUCCCACUGGUGACGUGCCCUUCUAGCUGCUGGCCCAUCACUGCCCCUGAAGUCAUCAGUGGAUGGCAGACAUGAGUGAAGCAGUCCUCUGGCCGCCACAGCAGGUUGGGGACCUGUAGCCCUUACACUGCUCCAAUGGAACCAGACUUGAACGGUGCCAGGGAGACCAACGCUGUGUGAGUGUCCCAGUGGCUUACUGUGCUGCGCCAAGGUGUUGACAAGUAACGUGGAGGUUGAGCCGCUGGACCCACCACCCAUCGGCAAGUGUUCCAGGAGGCAAGAAGGAGUGACUCUACGCCAUGGAACUUUGACAGACCUCCUCCUCCUGCCUUCAAGUCUGGCUAACAUACAAGGACAUUGAGGAAGAGGAGGAAGAAGAAGGAGAGGAGGAGGAGGAGGAGGAGGAGGAGGAGGAUAAAUAAUUAGUGAGAACAAAAUAUCAAUGAAAAAUAAGAAAAUGAGAGAAAAAAGUGAGAAAAUGAAAGAUAGUGAAAAGUGAGAUAGUGAGGAAAAAUAUUUACUACUGAAAAAAAGAAAGAGAGAGAGAGAGAUACAGAAUAAAGUGAGAAAGUGACUGGAUUACUACUACUACUACUACUACUACUAUUACUACUACUACUACUACUAUUACUACUACUACUAUCACUACUACUACUACUAUUACUACUACUACUAUCACUACUACUACUACUACUACUACUACUACUACUACUACUACUACUACUACUAUCACUACUACUACUACUACUACUACUUUUUUUUUUUUUACGGGCCUCCAUCUAUUAGAGUUGCGUUGUGAGCGGUAUAUUCUCUCAUAUCCUUUCACAAAGCAAUUCAUUGGCCCCACCCCGCCAAUGACUGUGGCCGACAACCAUCCUUAUUUAAUAUUACAAACUUUACUAAACAUAUUAUUUUUAAGCUAACAGAGCUUGUGGUUGAUACGACUAUCAACCACCGUCGCCUCAAAGUCCAGGUCAGCAAUGCGGGUGGUUUUGGGUGCAGGUGACCUGGUUCCUCUCAGGCAGACCAAGGCUGACCUCAGGAGGGAGAAGGAGAGCCUGCAUCUCAUCCAGGCGACCACACUGCUUCUUGGCUGCUACUACUACUACUACUACUACUACCACCACCACCACCACCACCACUACUACUACUACUACUACUACUACUACUACUACUACUACUACUACUACUACUACUAUUACUACUACUAUUACUACUACUACUACUACUACUACUACUACUACUACUACUACUAACUCUUCCUCCAA